AUUUAACGAUCAAAUCAUGGCAUCAAGUCAAGGACAUUUUCAAAUGCGUCAUGAGGGUUCCCAAUAUCAAACUCCUAUUCACAUACAAACAAUCCCUUUUACUCCUGUGUCUAGUCCUGUGACAAAUAGUUCUUUCACUCAGAAGUCUGAUGGCACACCAAGGCAAUGGGCACGUCAAAAUUCUGCAAAUUGCGCUGAUUUUUUAGGUGAAACUUCUCAGCCUGCUGUUCCUGUCACUAAGCAAAACGUGCAUCUACUAUGGUAAAGUUAUAGUAACAUACUUUUCUAUUGGGACUUCUUUUGCAACAAAGGGCCUUGUUGACACGUAUACUAUUAAUGCUUGGUGUCGCAAGUUGUCAUUAGAUACCAAGCCAAAGGACUCGAAAGUUCACCAUUUUUUCACCUUAUUUCUGAAUUGUAUGAUCAGAAGUUCAGUAUGGUUCAGAGAUGCUUCCAGCUAGCAAACGGUGCUAGACUAAUCCAUUCAUGUGAUGAGGUCCACUUUCCAACUUUGCAUAGCAAGCAUUGGUUCGAUUUUGUUGUCUUGUUUAAGCAUGAAAUGUUUGUAAUUCUGGACUCAGCAUUCGAUGCAGACAGUGAUUUUCACCAGCACGUGUUCAAUAUUCUGUUCUAUGACUUGCCUUUGGUAUCUGUGUACUUCCUCCAGAUACCAAAUUUCAAAAGAGUUUGGAAUAUGUAUGGGAGCUCAAGAAAUCUGAACUGGAGAAAUUGGACCACGCACUUUAUCGAUGUACCUAAACAAAGUUUGAUUGUGGCAUAUAUACGGCACUCUUUCUAAAGCAUUGGAAGCCUGGGGUACUGAUGCAUGAUAUUCUGAAGGAUGAAGAUAUUGCAAACAUCCGAAUUAGAAUGGCAAAUGAAAUGAUGUUCACUAAUCACAAUAUCCUGAAUGACCAUAAGAAGUUGGUUCUUGAGUUCUAGUACCCUUAUGAGUUGGUAAUGGAGAAGAAGCAAUAAUGAAGGCUGUAGCUUAAUGACUCACAAGUGUAGGGGAUCUAUCGUAGUCCUUUCGAUAAGUAAGAGUGUCGAACCCAACGAGGAGCAGAAGGAAAUGACAAGUGGUUUUCAGUAAGGUCUUCUCUGCAAGCACUGAAAUUAUCGGUAACAGAUAGUUUUGUGAUAAGGUAAUUGGUAACGAGCAACAAGUAACAAAAGUAAAUAAGGUGCAGAAAGAUGGCCCAAUCCUUUUUAUAGUAAAGGAAA